rnacentral:rRNA from 1 species
UGCCAGCAGCCGCGGUAAUACGGAGGGAGCUAGCGUUGUUCGGAAUUACUGGGCGUAAAGGGCGCGUAGGCGGUCCUAUCAGUCAGAUGUGAAAUCCCCGGGCUUAACCCGGGAACUGCAUUUGAUACUUUAGGACUAGAGUGCGGUAGGGGAUGAUGGAAUUCCUAGUGUAGAGGUGAAAUUCGUAGAUAUUAGGAGGAACACCAGUGGCGAAGGCGAUCAUCUGGGCCGCAACUGACGCUAAGGCGCGAAAGCGUGGGGAGCAAACAGGAUUAGAUA